GAUGAACGCUAGCGGCAGGCCUAAUACAUGCAAGUCGAACGGGAUUGCGGUAGUAGCUUGCUACUACUGCAUGAGAGUGGCGCACGGGUGCGUAACGCGUGAGCAACCUACCCAUAUCAGGGGGAUAGCCCGGCGAAAGUCGGAUUAACACCGCAUAACAUCAACAGUUCGCAUGUUCAGUUGAUUAAAUAUUUAUAGGAUAUGGAUGGGCUCGCGUGACAUUAGCUAGUUGGUAGGGUAACGGCUUACCAAGGCAACGAUGUCUAGGGGCUCUGAGAGGAGAAUCCCCCACACUGGUACUGAGACACGGACCAGACUCCUACGGGAGGCAGCAGUAAGGAAUAUUGGUCAAUGGGCGCAAGCCUGAACCAGCCAUGCCGCGUGCAGGAGGACUGCCCUAUGGGUUGUAAACUGCUUUUAUCAGGGAAUAAACCCCUUUACGAGUAGAGGGUUGAAUGUACCUGAAGAAUAAGGAUCGGCUAACUCCGUG
rnacentral:rRNA from 1 species